CCUCGUAUUUCUAGUCCGGUUUGGCCAUUCUGCCUGGUUACUGAGCUCAGCUGGAACCUCUGUGGCUUCCUUAACCUUGAGACAGGUCGGCCGAUGAUCCUGCUGGUCUCUCUCUGUACAGGGUGUUUCAAGUACCGACUCUUACUUUCUUUACAGGUACAUCCAAGCAAUAGAAGCUGACAUUCCGUGGUCGUCCUGUCUCUCGGUGUCUAGACACUUGUGGAUGCCUCUUUAUGCUCGUCACGAUUCAUCCGCGCAACUAUGUACUACCUCGAGCCCCACAAGCCUUGCGUACUUCUCGACGGCCGCACAAGAGGUUCCUGGGUAAUAUCUUUCCGACGGGAAACGAGGAGGAACUUUAACGGGUGACCUUUCGAAAUCGAUCUAUUCUAUUGCCAGCACGUAACGACAAUUAACCUCGGGCUACUCCUCGUGUCGCAAUUAUUGAAGUUCACAUUUACGAAGGCUCGAAUUCGACGCUAAGGGUGAUGCUACCUACCUGCCCGCCCGCCCCCCUCCCUCCCUUCGCCUUCUCUAGGCAAGAUAAUCGCGCUGCUCUACGUCCAGGCUUCAAGACCUUUAUUCCUAGAAGGGACGUGCAACGCGAAACCAGUUGUAGCCACAACAAGUUCAGCGCUGUGUGGGUAAGCGAGUGAGCCGAGCAAUCGGAACUCGUGACACGGGAGGGGCUGGGCGGGGGAGAAGGCACGUUGUUGAGAAACUUCAGACGACCCUAUACAACGUACAUACCACAAUGGCGGCCAUGUUUCUGUUCAAUAUUAUUUUUCAAAGUUAUUUUAAACUUAUCGACUGCAUGUACAGAAGCUGUAUUUAUUGUUUAAUAAGGUUGUACGGUGAAAAAAAAUAUAACCGGUCCAAUUGACUUUAUUGCCAAUCUGAUACACGAGGACUUUCACUUCACGAUUAAUUUUUUUCAGUGCUGCCAACUUGUCUCAGCUUAUCGCGGCUGAUUCGAAUUGAUCUUGCUUUCGAUACACGGGUACCGAGACGCGGAGGGAAAAAAUGGAUAAACGAAAAAAUUAUUUAAUAAACGAUUGAUACUUGUAUCCUGUUCGCUCUGGUUUGGUUCAAAUCAGAAACACGACCUUUCACAAUCCUCGUACCUUGGGCUUGACCCUGGAUCAAAACUUUCCCGACUCGUGGAACCUUGAAGGUUCUUCGAUCUGCUGUGCUAGGUUACGGCCUGAUGUGGUAAUGCUUCUGUGAACUGUCUUUGACAUGUCAGUUAGAUAUCCUAUAGACUGUACGACUAAUUCGAUAUGUAUAUAAGUAUGUAGGUAUACAGAUGGAACCCGGUAAUACCUCAGAGUGUCAUUAUAUACAUUAAUCAUUCAUAAUUA